GCAGAUGAAUCAUGACUGAAUGGAACUC
rnacentral:piRNA from 1 species